CGCGUAGGCCGUCGAGUAAGUCGGAUGUGAAAUCCCCGGGCUUAACCUGGGAAUUGCAUUCGAUACUGCUUGGCUAGAGUGUGGAAGAGGGAAGCGGAAUUUCCGGUGUAGCGGUGAAAUGCGUAGAUAUCGGAAGGAACACCAGUGGCGAAGGCGGCUUCCUGGUCCAACACUGACGCUGAGGCGCGAAAGCGUGGGGAGCGAACAGGAUUAGAUACCCUGGUAGUCCACGCUGUAAACGAUGAGAACUAGAUGUUGGGGGGUAUAACCCCUCAGUGUCGCAGCUAACGCGUUAAGUUCUCCGCCUGGGGAGUACGGCCGCAAGGUUGAA
rnacentral:rRNA from 1 species